rnacentral:rRNA from 1 species
ACAUAACUGAUGCCUCCGCGUAUCGACUUUGUGCGCAUUUUAGCUAUUAUGUGUUCUUUUAAUUAAAAUGAUUCUUUUUAAGAUUCAUCUAUUAAAAAUUUGCUUCGGCAUAAUUUUUUUGGAUGAUCUUGUUACUUUGAGUAAAUUAGAGUGUUCAAAGCAAACAGAUAUAGCAUUUGUGCGUUUGAAUACUACAGCAUGGAAUAACAAAAUUGAACAAGUCAGAAUUUUUUUGUUCUUUUUUCUUAUUUUGGCUUAGUUACGAUUAAUAGGAGUAGCUUGGGGGCAUUUGUAUUCAGAUGUCAGAGGUGAAAUUCUUAGAUUUUCUGGAGACAAACAACUGCGAAAGCAUUUGCCUAAAAUACUUCCAUUAAUCAAGAACGAAAGUUAAGGGAGUGAAGACGAUCAGAUACCGUCGUAAUCUUAACCAUAAACUAUGCCGACUAGGCUUUGGAUGAAAGAUUUUAAAAUAAGAGUUUUUCUUUUCUCUCCGGAGAUUAGAACUCUUAGAUUGCUUCCUUCAGUGCCUUAUGAGAAAUCAAAGUCUUUGGGUUCUGGGGCGAGUAUUCGCGCAAGCGAGAAAGUUAAAAGAAUUGACGGAAGGGCACCACCAGGCGUGGAGCUUGCGGCUUAAUUUGACUCAACACGGGAAAACUCACUAGUUUAAGACAAGAGUAGGAUUGACAGAUUAAUAGCUCUUUCUUGAUUUCUUGGAUGGUGAUGCAUGGCCGUUUUUAGUUCGUGAAUAUGAUUUGUCUGGUUAAUUCCGAUAACGAACGAGAUCUUAACCUGCUAAUUAGCGGCAAAUACGAUAUAUUCUUAUGUAGAAUUGAAUAUAGUGGAUUUGUUGGAUUUUGAAGAAAAUAUUGGAAUUACGUUAAAUGUGAUUCCUUUCCCUUUUCUACUUAAUUUACAUUUCCAUCUAUUUCUUUUUUGCGUAUGAAUGUAUUUGCUUGAUUGUAAAGCUUCUUAGAGGAACGAUGUGUG